UAUGCGAUGUGUAAAACACACAAUGGCCUGAAUAAGGAGCUAAGUAUAUAAGUGCAAACAAACCCGUUUUUAUAGUUCCAUGGCAUUUUGAAUGCAGCUUUAAGCCUAAAGGACACUCUCCUUCUUGCAGAUGAAGAUGGGGAAUGUAACAUUCUAUUAUCUUGCUUUGGAGUCAUGGGAAUUUUGAACAGUGGUAUGAGAAAGGCUACAAUUUGAAGUAUCUGUUAAAUACAGCAACAUGACGUCACAAGAUAUGUAACCUUUCAGCUGAGAAGAUACAUAUGAAACCAGAACCAUCCUGAAAACUAUGAAGAAAUGAUCCUUACAUUCAAAGGAAAACAAUGUAGAGAGUAAACAAUUAUUAACAAUUUCUACUGGGAGCUUAAAGCAGAUUCUUUUUCUCUUCCUGUUUUUAUUUUUCCUUAUCAUUCACACAGAGUUCUUCUGUUAUUUUCUUCUUGAAUAGUGUUAGUGGGCUGAUGACAUAAAAGUGUGAAGUGCUAACGUGAUGGAAUUAUCAGAAAAGAUACUGUCCUUAGUUAUAUUUAUUCUUAUUUGGAGAUUAGUACACAAACCAUUUUCAAUUUUUUUCUUUAAACCUCACUCACCAUCUAGAGCUGUAUAGAAAAUGCUUAAAUUCAUUCAUGUAGUCAUUCAUUCAAUGAUGAUUUAUUAAGCACUUAUUAUGUGCCACAUGCUAUUCUCAAUAUAAUACUAAGCAAAAGAAUCACUUUGCCCUCAUGGAGAUUACUGUUGACUGGAAGAGAUGAACGUAAAUCAAAUCAUCAUAUACGAUGAUAAAAGCUAGGAAAAGGCAAAGUGUACGAGGGCAUAAGAAUUCUGCUUUGGGAAGUCACAGAAAAACUCCCUAUAGAAGUGAAAAUUAAGCUGAAGGCAAAGCAUAAAUAGAAGUUAUCUGGUGGAAGAGGACAGAAAAGAGCAUUCUAGGCAGAAAAUAUUUAGUUAAAUAUGUUGACAUAGACAGGGCUUAAUAUGAGUUUACUGUCAACAUAUAAAAGUAAAGAGUAGAAUAAUUGCUUACCCAAAUGCUACAACUAACUUUACAUUAAAUAUGUAUUCCAAACUCCAAAAUUAUUAAGUUCACUCUAUUAGGGAAAUGAGAUCAUGAGUGGGUCUCUUUUCCGUGUCUUCCCUGUUUUUCUAAAUAUAGUUAAAAUACUUUUAUAUAAUAGGAGUAUUUUACAAAAAUAAAAAAGAUCAUUGUUACCUAUACUGUGUUUACCAAACAGCUUGUAUCUUUACUUUUUUAUUAAAGAAAAAAAAUGUUUAUCAUUCACCUUAUUUUCAAUCAGUAUAAAUUGAUUUUUCUAAAAAAUUCUACGUUCUUUAUAAAGCCCCCAUUUAUAACUUAUGCCAUUCUUGUCACAGAGGACAGCCUUAUAAGGGAAGAGGAUGAUGUGCCCUGCGAGGGACCUCUCGACCAGUCAGAAUGCUCAUUAUCAGUCCAAUUAUCCGCUGAUAAUUGGCCUGCCUGUGGGAAUAAUAGGCUGGGAUGAUUUAACUCACUGCCGACAUAUUCACAGCAUCCUACACACUGCAUUCAAAACUUCUUAACUUUUCCUUAAAUAAUGGAAGAAUCUAAUUCUAGCUGUUAGAAUAUUUUAUUUGCUCAACAUUGAACUUCCUGUGAACACGGAAGAACCACUCUGCUGAGACUCAGGGAAUGCCCCCUGUUUGUACUAAACUUCACAAUGUUGGCAAUAAAUCUCCCAUAAUGUCCAGCUUUCUUAUUUUGUCUGUAUACCAUAUUCUUCAAAAAGACAAGUCUCCCUUCUUGGACUCGGUGAAAUUUAGUCAUAGGAUAACACUCAAAGAAUGGAGUCACUUGGCUUGUAAAUGCUUACCAGCAUUUCAACACUUCUAGAUGGCUGGCUGAUGUCCAAAUGAGUCUACGGAAUGGCCAAGGAGAGGAAUUGUGAUGGAAUUUUACAGAGUGAUAGGGUAUUUGCUUUUGUGUGUUUCUUGAGAUAAUUAAGUUGAAUUAAGUUACACUCACGGGACCGUGUUUUAAAGUUUCCAAUUUGAGCUUAAAAUGUCGGGUUUUUUUGUUGUUGUUUUUUAAGUCUUGUGCUCCUGAAAAUUUGUUAGCGGGAUGGGGAUGUUUUCAUCCUUUAGGUCUCUCUCUUCUUUUUUUAGUUGCAUAAAUUUAUUUGUUUAAUAAAUAGUUCACACACUGGCCAGAAACCAAGUGGACAAAUUGUACUCACUAACCCUUUAAUACUUGGCUCCUUUGUCUAAUAACCCAGCCCAUUAUUAGAUAAUGAAAGAGUGUAUGAGAAAGUGGAGAUUAUUUAUGAUGGAAACAAAAUGAAACUAAUGGGACAAGAUUUGAAAGCUGUGAUGCAUGAAAGGUGCUAUGCAGGCCGCUCUGGCACCAUGACAAACAGAGAUAAAGGCUCAGUGGGAAGCAGCAGUGUGAACAUGACUAUGAAGAAAAUAGAAUGGAUUUCCUGAAUGAAGCCGUGCCAUCUGGUGUUUGUUUAAUACACAAUAAAGGUCAAAUGGCUACUGAUCCUUUUUUCUAUAGUCCAGUGACUAUAAGAAUGAGAGGAAUCAAUGAGUUUAUCGAUAUGUCUGGAAAUAACUCACCAUAUGAUCUGAUUGAGUCAAUAAAACUGAAGUAACUUGUCAUUGCUCUUCAGAUUUGGUUUGGAUCUAUGGCUACAAUUCUGUGUAUACACACACACACACACACACACAAUUUGCUGGAUCAAAUGUGACUCAUAUUUUUUUCAAGAGUAAUGUUUGGAAGCAUUUCAGUUUCUAGAUAUGUAGGCAUAAAAGGAACGGGCAGAAGGAAAGCUUUUCAUCAAGUUGAAUGUUUCCCCUAUUAUCAAAUAGACCUGUUAAACAUUCAUGUCUUGAUUGGUGGUGGAUUAAAGAAAUUUAUUUUUUUUUGUUUCCCUUUUCUAUGUACGCAAUUGAUUACACACCAAUUUUAUGUAAUGAUUCUUAGGGGACAUAUUAGCUUUUAGUGAAAUAUGUUUAUUAAGCAUUAUAUGUAAACAGCAUGCACUUUGGGAAUGUCACAUGUAAGUUGAACAUAUUAUUUUCUGUAGCAUCCUCUUUUCUUCAGGUCGUUCCAGUAAUGCACUUCCACGGUCUGAUCCUGAAACUCUGACCUUCCUGCUGAAGUUGCAGGGUUUUCUGUUGAGUUCUUUUCUAAAGACUAAAAUAAAAGACACUUUUCUCACAUUAAUAUUUCUCAGCUGCCAUGAAAACAGGGAUAGGAGAAGCCAAAAAUAGAGGAGCCAGCUGUGGGAGGCUGCUUUUUUUUUUCUUUUUCAGGACAACUCAGAAAAGUCUUUCAAAUUCAUUUUAUAGAUAGUGUGUUAAUGCAAAUAGUGUUUCACGCGCCUGCGUGCUAUACUUUAAAAGCUGGUAUGCACUCAAUUGUGAUACAGUGAAUGUUAUCUGACUGUUGUGGCAGCAGUACAAUUGUUAAGAUUGUCUCUGGGGUAGAUCCAUUUAGUAUUCUUUCUAUCUUCUCUUUUUGAAAAGACUUUACUGAAGCUGGUUAAUUAAAAUAAGAGUGGGGCGAUUAUGAAAAUAAUUCUCUUAUUCCUGAAGUGGACGCAGUGUGUUUUAUUCCAGAUGCCACAUAUUUUGUUGAUGAUUUGACUUUUUCGCUGGGAGUAUAAAAGUAUUACAUGCUCCCCUGACUUUAUAAAAAACAAAAUAAUAAUCACCCGUCAUGCCAGUGUGCUGAGGCACCAUGUUUAACACAUUGGCCUCUUUAUUUUUUCAAUCCAUUUUUUUCUUUACUUAACUGAGAUAAUACUGUAAAUACAAUUUUAUAACUUGAUUUUUUUUUUGCUUAAUAUUUCAUUCAAGUAUUUCGUGUUCAUGAAAUGUUUCCUGAUACCCCCAUAUCCAGGUAGACCGGCUACCCGCUUCCUUUGUGUUCCCGCUGUGCUGUGAUAUGUAUUCUAACAUAGUACCUUUAUUAUUGAUUUGUUGUUGACCAACUGUAAGAGCAUAGAAAGGAAGGGCCAACACUUUCUAUGUCUUUUGCAAUAUCAAAAAUAAGAGGCUACUGAUUAAAGGUAUAGGCCACAACAGAUGUUCACCUGAUAAUUAGAAUUGACUGUCUACUGGGGGUAUUAAGACAGAGGAUGAAAACAACAGAAAUUUUGUAAAAGUGUUUCCUGUAGUUGGUAGGAAUUUGGAUUCUAUAACAUCCUUAAAACUUCAAGAUACUAAAAUUUCAAGAUGCUAAUAUUCUAUUUGGUCGGCAGAUUAACUGCUUAAUGACUAGGCAUGCCUAGCCCUGAAGUGUAAAGCCAGUGAAUUUGUAUGGUUCAUUGCUGGGUAGAAAAUGACAUUGGCUUUUAUGGUCAAGUGGCCAUCAUUUUAU